rnacentral:rRNA from 1 species
UAAGGCGAGGCCGACAGGCGUAGUCGAUGGAUGACGGGUUGAUAUUCCCGUACCGGCGAAGCACCGCCCAUGCUGACGCGCGGGUGCUAACCCACGCCGUGCCGCCAUAUAGGCCGCGCCUACUCCUUUCGGGGGGUGGUGUGGUUGUGGUGGUGGGGUCUGGGGAUCCUCCGUGCAGGUAGGCAAGCGUGUUAACAGGGGUGACGCACAGUGGUAGCCCGGCGGACCUGAUGGCUUGGUCCGUUCAAGCGCGCAGCCCGUUGCCCAGGUAAAUCCGGGGGACUGUCUUUGAUGACGGGGGUGAGGCGUGAUGGUGACCCCACGCUGGUGGGGGAUAGCAGGGUGAUCCUGGGGUGCCGAGAAAAGCCUCGACGCGAUGGUGCCAGCCGCCCGUACCCUAAACCGACACAGGUGGUCGGGCAGAGUAUGCCUAGGCGCACGAGUGAAUCAUGGUUAAGGAACUCGGCAAAAUGCCCCCGUAACUUCGGGAGAAGGGGGGCCCGAACCCUGAGGCCCCGUGCGGGCUAGGGGGGUGGGUCGCAGAGACCAGGGGGAAGCGACUGUUUACUAAAAACACAGGUCCGUGCGAAGCCGUAAGGCGAUGUAUACGGACUGACGCCUGCCCGGUGCUGGAAGGUUAAGAGGAACCAUCAACCCCCCUUUUGUGGGGGUGAAGUGGUGAAUUUAAGCCCCAGUAAACGGCGGUGGUAACUAUAACCAUCCUAAGGUAGCGAAAUUCCUUGUCGGGUAAGUUCCGACCUGCACGAAUGGCGUAACGACUUCCCCGCUGUCUCAACCAUGAGCUCGGCGAAAUUGCAGUACGAGUAAAGAUGCUCGUUUCGCGCAGAAGGACGGAAAGACCCCGGGACCUUUACUACAGCUUGGUAUUGGCGCCCGCUAUAGCUUGUGCAGGAUAGGUGGGAGACGUUGAAGCCGUUACGCCAGUAGCGGUGGAGUCGUCCUUGAAAUACCACUCUGGUUAUGGCGUGCGCCUGAACCUGGGCCCGUGAUCCGGGUUAGGGACAGUGCCUGGUGGGUAGUUUAACUGGGGCGGUUGCCUCCUAAAGUGUAACGGAGGCGCUCAAAGGUUCCCUCAGCCUGGUCGGCAACCAGGUGUUGAGUGCAAGUGCACAAGGGAGCUUGACUGUGAGACCGACGGGUCGAGCAGGUACGAAAGUAGGAACUAGUGAUCCGGCGAUCCCGUGUGGGUGGGUCGUCGCUCAACGGAUAAAAGGUACCCCGGGGAUAACAGGCUGAUCCUGCCCAAGAGUCCAUAUCGACGGCAUGGUUUGGCACCUCGAUGUCGGCUCGUCGCAUCCUGGGGCUGGAGCAGGUCCCAAGGGUUGGGCUGUUCGCCCAUUAAAGCGGUACGCGAGCUGGGUUUAGAACGUCGUGAGACAGUUCGGUCCCUAUCCUCUGCGCGCGCAGGAGACUUGAGAAGGCCUGUCCCUAGUACGAGAGGACCGGGACGGACGAACCUCUGGUGUGCCAGUUGUCCCGCCCGGGGCACGGCUGGUUGGCUACGUUCGGGACGGGUAACCGCUGAAAGCAUCUAAGCGGGAAACCAUCUUCAAGACAAGGUCUCCGCAAGAAGGACUCGUCCUUCUUGGUAGGCCCCCAGCAGACUACUGGGUUGAUAGGCCAGAAGUGGAAGACCGGCAACGGUUGGGAGCUGACUGGUACUAAUCGGCCGACACAAACAAC